ACCCGCUGAACUUAAGCAUAUCAAUAAGCGG
rnacentral:rRNA from 1 species